rnacentral:rRNA from 1 species
GACGAACGCUGGCGGCGUGCUUAACACAUGCAAGUCGAACGGUAAGGCUCCAGCUUGCUGGGGUACACGAGUGGCGAACGGGUGAGUAACACGUGGGUGACCUGCCCUGCACUUCGGGAUAAGCCUGGGAAACUGGGUCUAAUACCGGAUAGGACCGCACCGUGAGGGUGUGGUGGAAAGUUUUUUCGGUGUGGGAUGGGCCCGCGGCCUAUCAGCUUGUUGGUGGGGUAAUGGCCUACCAAGGCGGCGACGGGUAGCCGGCCGGAGAGGGUGGACGGCCACAUUGGGACUGAGACACGGCCCAGACUCCUACGGGAGGCAGCAGUGGGGAAUAUUGCACAAUGGGCGGAAGCCUGAUGCAGCGACGCCGCGUGGGGGAUGACGGCCUUCGGGUUGUAAACUCCUUUCACCAUCGACGAAGGGUUUCUGACGGUAGAUGGAGAAGAAGCACCGGCUAACUACGUG